CCUACGGGACGCAGCAGUGGGGAAUAUUGGACAAUGGGGGGAACCCUGAUCAAGCCAUGCCGCGUGUGUGAAGAAGGCCUUUUGGUUGUAAAGCACUUUAAGCGAGGAGGAGGCUACCGAGAUUAAUACUCUUGGAUAGUGGACGUUACUCGCAGAAUAAGCACCGGCUAACUCUGUGCCAGCAGCCGCGGUAAUACAGAGGGUGCAAGCGUUAAUCGGGUUUACUGGGCGUAAAGCGCGCGUAGGUGGCCAAUUAAGUCAAAUGUGAAAUCCCCGAGCUUAACUUGGGAAUUGCAUUCGAUACUGGUUGGCUAGAGUAUGGGAGAGGAUGGUAGAAUUCCAGGUGUAGCGGUGAAAUGCGUAGAGAUCUGGAGGAAUACCGAUGGUGAAGGCAGCCAUCUGGCCUAAUACUGACACUGAGGUGCGAAAGCAUGGGGAGCAAACAGGAUUAGAUACCCGCGUAGUC
rnacentral:rRNA from 1 species